rnacentral:lncRNA from 1 species
CUUUAUUGCAAAAAGUCAGAUGGGGAGUAGGCUUAUUGUUCAAGACCACCAAAUCAGCUUCAGUUGCACAACCUGAAUUUGCCAGUAUGGGAUUGAAACCCAGCCUAAAAUAGCAACAGCCUGGAAGCCCCUAAUAUGUACUUGCUUCUUUAAAUGAAGAAACAGUAAUUCAAGGCCAGUCAAAUCUAAGAGAAAUCGUUUCCCUUCUGUAUAGUGAUUUAGUGACUUAGUUGCCCAUCUUUUCUCGAACAAAGGGCAGUGAUAUAACAUACAGCUUAGGAAAUAAAAAAUAGCUUGAGGAAAGUCAUUGCAUAUUUCAGAGGAAAGGGAAAAUAAUGUAAUAAAAAACCAGCUUUCCAAGUCCAUUCCCAGCAGUCUGUUUUUCCGCCCAGUCAUCUCAGAUUGCUUUUUUAAAAAGCAAGUUUCUACUUCUUAAGACUGCAAAAAAACAAAAACCACCUUGUGAAAUUCUGCAGAAAGCAUGUUGAGGAUGGAGGGGGUGAGCAAGAUUUGCAGAAGGUUAAGGGACAGACUUCCAGCCAUGCAGAGUUCUUUGACAUUCCCUAACCAUAGUAGAAGUAGAAUGAAUCAUACCAUGUAACCAAAGUUGCCCAAUUUUUGCAAGCCGUGUUGGUUUCCCCCAGCCCCAAGGAAGGGACAUAUGAAAUUCCAUGACUCUGGAGCUGACUGAGGAAUUCCUUGGAGAAUAGAACAGGUUUUGGUUGAUUCAAAGACCAGAUCCCUUAAUCAUUGGGCCACAGUACGGGCUGGUCCUAGAAAUGCAGAAGAUGCACUCUGGUGCAUCUCAUUCAGACAUGAUAAACUGUGGUUGAGCACUACACAAAUCCUCACGUGCUCUUUCCUUCACAUUUGUAAGUGGUAAGUCCUAUGAGAGGUGGUUGAACGAACUGAAUACAGUUAGCGCAAAGAAGGACUGAUUAAGAUGUGCUCAUAGUCUAUCAGGUAGAAGAUGGAGCAAACUUGUUCUCUGUUGGACCAGAACCAAUGGGUGGCAAUUGCAAGGAAACAGAUUUUGGCUAACAUGAAGAUAAAACUCCUAACUGAAAAUGCGGUUGAAUCAUGUAACUGGGUGAGUGGGCUGCCUUCAUUCCAGGUUUUUAAGGAGAGGUGAGAUGGCCAUCUGUUCGGAGGGCUUGCUUAAAAUUACAGACUUCUGCACUGAAUGAAGAGUUGCCAUUAGAUGAUCUCCAAGGUCCCUUCCAAUUCUAAAAUUAUAUAAUUUUAUGAUGGCAAAAGCAUUUGCUUCCACUUUCACCAAACUGCAGCUUGUCAUUACGCCAGAACAAAGAACUGUAGUUAGCUUUAACAAUGGUUUAUCCAAACAUGCCAGGAUCGUAAACGAUGGCUUGAAGUUGGCUUGUUUCAGCAAAUCAUUGUUAAAACUAACCACAGUUCCCACUCUCAACAUAGUGUUAAGCUGUAAUUCAUCAAAAAUGAAAGCUGAUGCUUCCUACCUUAUCCUCAUGGCUGUAAAGGAGGAGGGUGGAGUGCAGACACUUGUUCACAUGCUAUAUAUUAAGAACUAUAAUUACUCAUUAUUAUGAACUAUAAUAUGGGACGUGGGUGGCGCUGUGGGUUAAACCACAGAGCCUAGGACUUGCUGAUCAGAAGGUCGGCGGUUCGAAUCCCCAUGACGGGGUGAGCUCCCGUUGCUCAGUCCCUGCUCCUGCCAACCUAGCAGUUCGAAAGCAUAUCAAAGUGCAAGUGCAAGAUAAAUAGGUACCACUCCGGUGGGAAGGUAAACGGUGUUUCCGUGCGCUGCUCUGGUUUGCCAGAAGCGGCUUAGUCAUGCUGGCCACAUGACCCGGAAGCUGUACGCCAGCUCCCUCAGCCAGUAAAGUGAGAUGAGCACCGCAACCCCAGAGUCAGCCACGCCUGGACCUAAUUUUACCCUUUACCUUUAUGAACUAUAAUAUAGUGCUGCAUAAUUUAUGGUCUACUAAAUUUGCGUGUUUCCAGGUGCUAUGAAAUACUAGCAGCAGCAGAAGCAAAACACAGCAGCUCUAUCCUCUAAAGCAGCUCCUGGGAACCUCUUGACUUUUCUGAAGUUCCACCAGGCAUUGCCUACAGAAGCAUCCCAUUUGCAAGGUGUCCUGCACAACCAUUUCACAAGUGGCCAGGCAGAGAUCUGAUAGACUCUUCCAUCCUGUUGGGUCCAAGGGGCUUCGAUAGCCUGGGGUGAACUUACUGACUGAUUUGCUGAAAUUCAGUAGCUGUGAUUCUGAACAAGCACCCAUGUUUCCCCAUUUGCCUUACAUACUGUUUUGGAAUAUCUGUUAAUAUAUCUGAAUGCCUUUCUUCCCUCUGCUUUUUCCUCUUCAGAAAUCUUGUAUUUGCAAGCACUGAAGAUGUGAAAGAGCCCUGGAGCUGCUUUAUGCCUUUAUACCUUGAUAGUACCAUAUCCAUGCCGGCCCCCACAAGUUGCCUCCCAUCUCUCUGUAAAUCAUAGAGGUACACUUUACAGCAUCUCAGACUAACCUGUCUCUUGAUGCCCUUUGAAGAAUCUGCUGUUAACCUGAUGAUGCCCUCUCUACACAUAUCAUAUCAUGUACCAGGCUCCCAUUUAUUUAUCCCCCAGGCAGCAGCAGUGGCGGCUGCUACCACAGCUUUCCCUUUCUGCUGAGAAGAAGGACACACAAAGGAGUCUCAGCAGCUGCCUAAGGUUAAAAAAUUCAUCAUUCACCCACCCAUAAAUGGAUGUUUUUCUCAGUCUUUUAAAGAGUCACUGUAAAUAAAAACCCUCCGUAAGUCA